UCAUUUUCCUGAAGCAAUCUGAUUAGAGCACAAUAAACUGCUCUUCUGGUGUCAUCUUUAAUCUGCGAGGAAACAUAGUUACACAAAAGUAUAUGCGAUCACUAGCUCCAAAAAACUAUGCGUAAUGGCACAUAUAACAAAGCGCAGAUACAUCAUAUAGAAGUCUUGAGAAACAUAGUUACACAAAAGUAUGUGCGAUCACUAGCUCCAAAAAACUAUGCGUAAUGGCACAUAUAACAAAGCGCAGAUACAUCAUAUAGAAGUCUUGAAACUUUAAAGCUUACAUAUCGAACUUAACCUCCCUUAAUCAAAUAAUCUGGGUGGUGGUCAGUCAAAUGCACUAGAAAAUAUAUUUAUUUAUUUUAUAGGCCUAAUAACAUCUGACCAAAAAAAUAGCCAAAAACAUGAUGGCAUGACGCCAGCAUUGAAACAAUUCCUCUAUUUACUCUUCCCUGAAUCCCGGUGAUAUUAGGACAAUGGAAGAGGUUCACAACCUACAAUUGCCAGUGGACGGAUAGCAUAUGACCAGUAAUGGAGCAAGAAAAUUAGAAAAGAGAAACACUCCAAGAAAAUUCGAAUUGUAUCUGGAUCUGUAAUUGGAAAUCUUGGAGUAUUUUUU
rnacentral:lncRNA from 1 species